rnacentral:rRNA from 1 species
AACGAACGCUGGCGGCAUGCCUAACACAUGCAAGUCGAACGAGAGCUUCGGGUGUAGUGGCGCAUGGGUGCGUAACGCGUGGGAAGCUGCCCUUAGGGUCGGAAUAACUCCCCGAAAGGGGUGAUAAUAGCGGAUAAUGUCUUCGGACCGAAGAUUUAUCGCCUUUGGAUGGGCCGGCGUUGGAUUAGCUAGUUGGUAGGGUAAAAGACUACCAAGGGGACGAUCCAUAGCUGGUCUGAGAGGAUGGUCAGCAACACUGGGACUGAGACACGGCCCAGACUCCUACGCGAGGCAGCAGUGGGGAAUAUUGGACAAUGGGCGAAAGCCUGAUCCAGCAAUGCCGCGUGAGUGAUGAAGGCCUUAGGGUUGUAAAGCUCUUGUACCCGGGAUGAUAAUGACAGUACCGGGACAAUAAGCUCCGGCUAACUCCGUG